AUUUAAAUAGCUUAUAUAGAGCAUAGUAUUGAAGAUACUAAGGAAAAUUAGUUAAUUUUUUAAAUA
rnacentral:tRNA from 1 species